CCUGAACACAGAUCUGAGCUCUGAACUCAUGAAGCUGCACACAAAAGUCAACACAACUGAGAAUCUGCAACACAACCUGAACACAGAGCUGCAGGUCAGACUGAGGGACAAUGAA